GACCCCGUUGGAGAGCAGAUCGGCUCGGUUCGGGCUGAACCGGCCGGUUCGGCUUGGUUCAGCUUUCCUUGGUGCUUGCAAUAAAAUGGUUCUUCCUUUCUUUAUGUUAUCAUAUUUUCAGUGGACAGUAGUCAUCCAAAGCUUGCCACCAAAACUUACCGGACUUGGAACUGAAUAAAUGCCACAUCAACAAGCAGGCAUUGGCAGCCUUAACUCAGCCGAUGGAUCAACUACCUGGUGUAGGCAACUUAUAUUGAUACAGGAGUAUUUUCUCAUCGAGUAAUCUUGGGAGUUGGCUACUUGGUUUAACAAUUCCUUAGAGACUGGUGCUAUACUUGCCAGAUCAGAUCUCUCUCCAAUCCCCUAUGAUCCACAUAUCCAUCUCCAUAUCCUGCAUACCUCAAGAGCCUCCUUCCAUCUCGAUCUUAUUGAUCAGCUUAUUCAUAUGCUAGUCUGGAAGCUGUGGUUUAUCUGUCAAGCUGCAGAGUCCCAGUUAAUUGAUAUUUGUUAUAAAUAUCUCAAUUAAGUGAUGACACGGGAACUGUGAGGCUGAAGUUCUCUUACUUGUUCAGCUAUUUAAACCGAUUGGUUACAACCAUGUUUUGAUCGACAUGUGGCAGGACUGCUGGUCAAUUAAAGUCUAGAAAAGGUCUAUUUUAUUCAUAUGCACACAGAUCUCAGCAACGUUUUAGCUAGAAACAUGUCAAAAAGCAAGAGGUGAUAUGCUUGCAGGAACUGCUAGUUAUCCACUCCUCCAGUUGGCAGCUUGACAGCCGACCUUAUCCGAGCCACUAGACCGAUAAGUUCGGGUAGAUGGCUAGGCCAUGAUUUGUGAAGGGCUGGGCACUUGCAGAGUUGCAGAGGUGUUAUAUUUUCACUGCUACCGGUAAGAGGAGCGGGGCUCGCUCUUCAGUUCUCUAGAUCUACUUUGCUUAGUUCUCAAAAUAAAUCUGCUUUGGGUUGUGACUACUUAGGCAGGUUGGCCACCUCUUUGCAAGGCAAUAGACAGCUUACAGCAACCUCAUUCUACAUAUCUGCCUUGGGUACUUUGCAAGUCUGCCUGGAGUAAUUAAGAAAUUUCUACACCUUUGUUGCAUGGCAGGUUUUUAUGGGAUGUAAAACAAUUCGGACGAGAUGCCUUUUGUUUGCUCCACGAUCCAAGUUGAUUUCUAACAGAUUCCAGAAGUACAGGUCCUCUGCAAUCCAAGAUGCAUGAGAUUCUUACGGCUGGUUGGAUAUGUGAUGGAUUAAACAGAAAAUGUUUGGGGUGCUUGACAGUGCACACGAAAAAUUUUGAGACCACGUAAAGCUGGCUUGCCGCUCUGUAUUCAGAAUGCCUGGUUGAAUGCUCUGGAGACUGGAUUUAGGCCAGUGGCAUGUCGUCACAUGACAACUUUUCAGAGGACCUGUUUGAAUAUCUGUAACAACUGGGGUACAAAUGAAUCCCGGAUACAGAAAAUAAUUCCUUCUCCACUAUUUUUGGACACAAACUCUCCUUCCUCAUCCCUUGCGCUGGUAUCUCCUCUUGCAGCAGCUCAAAUAAUCAUUUUUUUUUAAAAAAAAAUCUCGUGACCCUUUCAUUCUAUUUUCUGAUUUGCAGCUCUAUGAAAGUGGUCCAAUUCUACUUGUACUUGAGUUUUAUGGUCGAUAUGUGUUAAAAUAUUUGCAGAAGAAAGGGAAAAACAAACAAAAAAAUUUAGUACA